CAUAGGUUAAUGAGGCGAACCGGGGGAACUGAAACAUCUAAGUACCCCGAGGAAAAGAAAUCAACCGAGAUUCCCCCAGUAGCGGCGAGCGAACGGGGAGGAGCCCAGAGCCUGAAUCAGUGUGUGUGUUAGUGGAAGCGUCUGGAAAGGCGCGCGAUACAGGGUGACAGCCCCGUACACAAAAAUGCACAUGCUGUGAGCUCGAUGAGUAGGGCGGGACACGUGGUAUCCUGUCUGAAUAUGGGGGGACCAUCCUCCAAGGCUAAAUACUCCUGACUGACCGAUAGUGAACCAGUACCGUGAGGGAAAGGCGAAAAGAACCCCGGCGAGGGGAGUGAAAAAGAACCUGAAACCGUGUACGUACAAGCAGUGGGAGCACGCUUAGGCGUGUGACUGCGUACCUUUUGUAUAAUGGGUCAGCGACUUAUAUUCUGUAGCAAGGUUAACCGAAUAGGGGAGCCGAAGGGAAACCGAGUCUUAACUGGGCGUUAAGUUGCAGGGUAUAGACCCGAAACCCGGUGAUCUAGCCAUGGGCAGGUUGAAGGUUGGGUAACACUAACUGGAGGACCGAACCGACUAAUGUUGAAAAAUUAGCGGAUGACUUGUGGCUGGGGGUGAAAGGCCAAUCAAACCGGGAGAUAGCUGGUUCUCCCCGAAAGCUAUUUAGGUAGCGCCUCGUGAAUUCAUCUCCGGGGGUAGAGCACUGUUUCGGCAAGGGGGUCAUCCCGACUUACCAACCCGAUGCAAACUGCGAAUACCGGAGAAUGUUAUCACGGGAGACACACGGCGGGUGCUAACGUCCGUCGUGAAGAGGGAAACAACCCAGACCGCCAGCUAAGGUCCCAAAGUCAUGGUUAAGUGGGAAACGAUGUGGGAAGGCCCAGACAGCCAGGAUGUUGGCUUAGAAGCAGCCAUCAUUUAAAGAAAGCGUAAUAGCUCACUGGUCGAGUCGGCCUGCGCGGAAGAUGUAACGGGGCUAAACCAUGCACCGAAGCUGCGGCAGCGACGCUUAUGCGUUGUUGGGUAGGGGAGCGUUCUGUAAGCCUGUGAAGGUGUGCUGUGAGGCAUGCUGGAGGUAUCAGAAGUGCGAAUGCUGACAUAAGUAACGAUAAAGCGGGUGAAAAGCCCGCUCGCCGGAAGACCAAGGGUUCCUGUCCAACGUUAAUCGGGGCAGGGUGAGUCGACCCCUAAGGCGAGGCCGAAAGGCGUAGUCGAUGGGAAACAGGUUAAUAUUCCUGUACUUGGUGUUACUGCGAAGGGGGGACGGAGAAGGCUAUGUUGGCCGGGCGACGGUUGUCCCGGUUUAAGCGUGUAGGC
rnacentral:rRNA from 1 species